CGGAGGGUGCAAGCGUUAUCCGGAUUCACUGGGUUUAAAGGGUGCGUAGGUGGGUUGGUAAGUCAGUGGUGAAAUCUCCGAGCUUAACUCGGAAACUGCCAUUGAUACUAUCAAUCUUGAAUCAUCUGGAGGUAAGCGGAAUAUGUCAUGUAGCGGUGAAAUGCUUAGAUAUGACAUAGAACACCAAUUGUGAAGGCAGCUUACUACGGGUGUAUUGACGCUGAGGCACGAAAGCGUGGGGAUCAAACAGGAUUAGAUACCCUGGUAGUCCACGCCCUAAACGAUGGAUACUCGACAUCAGCGAUACACUGUUGGUGUCUGAGCGAAAGCAUUAAGUAUCCCACCUGGGAAGUACGACCGCAAGGUUG
rnacentral:rRNA from 1 species